UACGUAGGUGGCAAGCGUUGUCCGGAAUUACUGGGUGUAAAGGGAGCGCAGGCGGGAAGCCAAGUCAGCUGUGAAAACUACGGGCUUAACUUGUAGACUGCAGUUGAAACUGGUUUUCUUGAGUGAAGUAGAGGUUGGCGGAAUUCCUGGUGUAGCGGUGAAAUGCGUAGAUAUCAGGAGGAACACCGGUGGCGAAGGCGGCCUGCUGGACUGCAACUGACGUUGAGGCCCGAAAGCGCGGGGAGCAAACAGG
rnacentral:rRNA from 1 species